GACGAACGCUGGCGGCGUGCUUAACACAUGCAAGUCGAACGGAAAGGCCCUGCUUUUGUGGGGUGCUCGAGUGGCGAACGGGUGAGUAACACGUGAGUAACCUGCCCUUGACUUUGGGAUAACUUCAGGAAACUGGGGCUAAUACCGGAUAGGAGCUCCUGCUGCAUGGUGGGGGUUGGAAAGUUUCGGCGGUUGGGGAUGGACUCGCGGCUUAUCAGCUUGUUGGUGGGGUAGUGGCUUACCAAGGCUUUGACGGGUAGCCGGCCUGAGAGGGUGACCGGCCACAUUGGGACUGAGAUACGGCCCAGACUCCUACGGGAGGCAGCAGGGGGGAAUAUUGCACAAUGGGCGGAAGCCGGAGGCAGAAACGCCGCGUGCGGGAUGACGGCCUUCGGGUUGUAAACCGCUUUCGCCUGUGACGAAGCGUGAGUGACGGUAAUGGGUAAAGAAGCACCGGCUAACUACGUG
rnacentral:rRNA from 1 species